AUGCAUGCUGGCAGCCAAGCGCAGGUCACCUCCGUGGCACGGGGACAAGGUCCCAGGCAGCAGCAGCAGGGAAGGGCCAGGCUGGGGUGGCACCGCAGGGGUGGGCUCUCUCAGCAGUGCUGCACAGGAGGCCUGAGGCAUGCACAGGGAGAUGCAGCAAAGCAGGCACUGGCAGACUGGAAGGACUCAGAGAAGAGCAGAGCAAAUGACCGACGACCUGGGAAGCCCGCCAGGAGAAGGAGGAAGCAGCUCCCUCUGUUUACCCAUCACUGGGAAGGUCAAGAGGUGACGGGAUCACACUCUGCCGAGGCCCACGCCGGGACAUCCCUGAGAGCAAAGGGUUGCGUCCCCAGCACAGGGGCAGGAGAAGGUCUGUUGGGUCCCAUGGUUUCAGGCACUGGGCUCCGCUCCCUCCCCAUCUCCCUGGGGCCCCAGCACACACAGGCCAGAGCCUGGCUUCCCGCACCGGCCCUUUCGCAAUCCUGGCCGCCUGGACUGGCCUCCUUCGUUCUCCUGCUUCCCAGCAGCCCAGGGGUGCUGGAGCUGAGGGUUGUGACAGCCCUGCCUCGCUGGGGCAGGACCGGCUGGACCCGCCGGCAGGGACCCCACAGGAUAGGAGGCACAGGAGAAGCACAGCCAAGUCCAGGGGCCCCAGGGCUCCCAGCUGAACUGCUCCCAGUGGCACCGAGGAACAACCCAGGGCCACCCCAGCAGCCCCACCACACUGGCAGGCUCGGUGACACCUCCCUACACCACCACCUCCUGGUGGGGCUCGCUGGGGGCUCGCUGCCCCUGGCUGACCAGAAAGAAGGCUGUGUGCCUGUGCCUGCUGUCCCACUGCAUGUCCCUGUCCCAGGCGGUGAUGGGGACACUGCUGUAGACACCACGCCCCGACUCUGUGGCUGUCCUGAGUGCCAGCUGGGGACAGAGCACCUGAGUGCACUCACCAGGUCCAGCGCACUGGUUCAAGCAGUCCUGAGCCCUUUGGACUGUCUGAUGUCCCCUGUUCUGCUGUCAGCCUCUAAGCCAGGGCAGCACACAGCGCAGCUCUUUGCAGUUCCUAACACCACUGGGUUUCCCUGA
rnacentral:lncRNA from 1 species